CCUCCCGAGUGCUUGCACUCAAUUGGAAAGAGGAGUGGCGGACGGGUGAGUAACACGUGGGUAACCUACCCAUCAGAGGGGGAUAACACUUGGAAACAGGUGCUAAUACCGCAUAACAGUUUAUGCCGCAUGGCAUAAGAGUGAAAGGCGCUUUCGGGUGUCGCUGAUGGAUGGACCCGCGGUGCAUUAGCUAGUUGGUGAGGUAACGGCUCACCAAGGCCACGAUGCAUAGCCGACCUGAGAGGGUGAUCGGCCACACUGGGACUGAGACACGGCCCAGACUCCUACGGGAGGCAGCAGUAGGGAAUCUUCGGCAAUGGACGAAAGUCUGACCGAGCAACGCCGCGUGAGUGAAGAAGGUUUUCGGAUCGUAAAACUCUGUUGUUAGAGAAGAACAAGGACGUUAGUAACUGAACGUCCCCUGACGGUAUCUAACCAGAAAGCCACGGCUAACUACGUGCCAGCAGCCGCGGUAAUACGUAGGUGGCAAGCGUUGUCCGGAUUUAUUGGGCGUAAAGCGAGCGCAGGCGGUUUCUUAAGUCUGAUGUGAAAGCCCCCGGCUCAACCGGGGAGGGUCAUUGGAAACUGGGAGACUUGAGUGCAGAAGAGGAGAGUGGAAUUCCAUGUGUAGCGGUGAAAUGCGUAGAUAUAUGGAGGAACACCAGUGGCGAAGGCGGCUCUCUGGUCUGUAACUGACGCUGAGGC
rnacentral:rRNA from 1 species